AUUGAACGCUGGCGGCAUGCCUUACACAUGCAAGUCGAACGGCAGCACGGGUGCUUGCACCUGGUGGCGAGUGGCGAACGGGUGAGUAAUACAUCGGAACAUGUCCUGUAGUGGGGGAUAGCCCGGCGAAAGCCGGAUUAAUACCGCAUACGAUCUACGGAUGAAAGCGGGGGACCUUCGGGCCUCGCGCUAUAGGGUUGGCCGAUGGCUGAUUAGCUAGUUGGUGGGGUAAAGGCCUACCAAGGCGACGAUCAGUAGCUGGUCUGAGAGGACGACCAGCCACACUGGGACUGAGACACGGCCCAGACUCCUACGGGAGGCAGCAGUGGGGAAUUUUGGACAAUGGGCGAAAGCCUGAUCCAGCAAUGCCGCGUGUGUGAAGAAGGCCUUCGGGUUGUAAAGCACUUUUGUCCGAAAAGAAAUCCUUGGCCCUAAUACGGUCGGGGGAUGACGGUACCGGAAGAAUAAGCACCGGCUAACUACGUG
rnacentral:rRNA from 1 species